rnacentral:tRNA from 1 species
AUCCCGUUGUGUCGGUGUUGUAUCCGACGUCGCCGUCGUCGGUGAACAGGACGGUGUUCACCGCGCCGAGCGUGGCCGCGACGGGAUC